rnacentral:tRNA from 1 species
GGGAACAUGGCUCAGUGGUAGAGCGCUUGCCUCACAUGUAUGAAGCCCUGGGUUUGAUUCCUUGGUACCA